rnacentral:rRNA from 1 species
AUUGAACGCUGGCGGCAUGCCUUACACAUGCAAGUCGAACGGUAACAGGUCUUCGGAUGCUGACGAGUGGCGAACGGGUGAGUAAUACAUCGGAACGUGCCCGAUCGUGGGGGAUAACGCAGCGAAAGCUGUGCUAAUACCGCAUACGAUCUACGGAUGAAAGCGGGGGAUCGCAAGACCUCGCGCGGACGGAGCGGCCGAUGGCAGAUUAGGUAGUUGGUGGGAUAAAAGCUUACCAAGCCGACGAUCUGUAGCUGGUCUGAGAGGACGACCAGCCACACUGGGACUGAGACACGGCCCAGACUCCUACGGGAGGCAGCAGUGGGGAAUUUUGGACAAUGGGGGAAACCCUGAUCCAGCCAUGCCGCGUGCAGGAUGAAGGCCUUCGGUUGUAAACUGCUUUGUACGGACGAAAGGUACUUCUAAUAAGAGGCGUCAUGACGGUACCGUAAGAAUAAGCACCGGCUAACUACGUGCCAGCAGCCGCGGUAACACG